rnacentral:rRNA from 1 species
AUAGCUAUUUCUGCUCAAUGUAAAUAGCCGCAGUACUUUGACUGUGCAAAGGUAGCAUAAUCAAUUGACUUAUAAUUGAAGUCUAGAAUGAAAGAAUUAUGGGGAAAUCUGUUUCUUUAGGUUAAGGAAAUUGCUUAGUAAGUGAAAAAACUUACUCUAAAAAUAGACGAGAAGACCCUAGAAAUUUUGAUUUUUGUUGGGGCGACAUAGUAGUACUAUAAGGAUUUGAUAUAAGAUUAUUAAAUUACUCUAGGGAUAACAGCAUAAUAUUAAAAGUUUGUGACCUCGAUGUUGGACUAGGAAAAGUUAAGA